rnacentral:rRNA from 1 species
GACGAACGCUGGCGGCGUGCCUAAUACAUGCAAGUCGAGCGCUGCAGGUUGGUACUUGUACCGACUGGAUGAGCAGCGAACGGGUGCGUACCGCGUGGGCAAUCUGCCUUUGAGCGGGGGACACCAUUUGGAAACGAAUGCUAAUACCGCAUAAAAACUUUAAACACAAGUUUUAAGUUUGAAAGAUGCAAUUGCAUCACUCAAAGAUGAUCCCGCGUUGUAUUAGCUAGUUGGUGAGGUAAAGGCGUACCCAGGCGAUGAUACAUAGCCGACCUGAGAGGGGAAGCGGCCACGUUGGGACGGGGACACGACCCAAACUCCUGCGAGUGGCAGCAGUAGGGAAUCUUCGGCGAUGGACGAAAGGCUGACCGAUCAACACCGCGUGAGUGAAGAAGGCUUUCGGGUCGUGAAACUCUGUUAGUAGUGAAGAUCGUUAAGGAGAUUUGAAAGCUCAUCAAAUGACGGUAACGACCCAGAAAGGGACGGCUAACUACGUG